UACGUAGGGUGCGAGCGUUAAUCGGAAUUACUGGGCGUAAAGCGUGCGCAGGCGGUUUUGUAAGACAGAGGUGAAAUCCCCGGGCUUAACCUGGGAACUGCCUUUGUGACUGCAAGGCUUGAGUGCGGCAGAGGGGGAUGGAAUUCCGCGUGUAGCAGUGAAAUGCGUAGAUAUGCGGAGGAACACCGAUGGCGAAGGCGAUCCCCUGGGCCUGCACUGACGCUCAUGCACGAAAGCGUGGGGAGCAAACAGG
rnacentral:rRNA from 1 species